CAAGACAACUUUACGGAGUUGACGAUUGACGGAGCGAAGCGACGUCAAAGCGUUCAUUAAAGUCGAGUUGGCUUAGGGAUACGUUCGUUGGGUAGGGGAGCGUUCUGUAAGCCUGUGAAGGUGUGUCGUGAGGCAUGCUGGAGGUAUCAGAAGUGCGAAUGCUGACAUAAGUAACGAUAAAGCGGGUGAAAAGCCCGCUCGCCGGAAGACCAAGGGUUCCUGUCCAACGUUAAUCGGGGCAGGGUGAGUCGACCCCUAAGGCGAGGCCGAAAGGCGUAGUCGAUGGGAAACGGGUUAAUAUUCCCGUACUUGGUGUUACUGCGAAGGGGGGACGGAGAAGGCUAUGUUGGCCGGGCGACGGUUGUCCCGGUUUAAGCGUGUAGGUGUGUGUUCCAGGUAAAUCCGGUUCACUUUAACACUGAGGCGUGACGACGAGGCACUACGGUGCUGAAGCAACAAAUGCCCUGCUUCCAGGAAAAGCCUCUAAGCAUCAGGUAACAUCAAAUCGUACCCCAAACCGACACAGGUGGUCAGGUAGAGAAUACCAAGGCGCUUGAGAGAACUCGGGUGAAGGAACUAGGCAAAAUGGUGCCGUAACUUCGGGAGAAGGCACGCUGACACGUAGGUGAAGUGAUUUACUCAUGGAGCUGAAGUCAGUCGAAGAUACCAGCUGGCUGCAACUGUUUAUUAAAAACACAGCACUGUGCAAACACGAAAGUGGACGUAUACGGUGUGACGCCUGCCCGGUGCCGGAAGGUUAAUUGAUGGGGUCAGCGCAAGCGAAGCUCCUGAUCGAAGCCCCGGUAAACGGCGGCCGUAACUAUAACGGUCCUAAGGUAGCGAAAUUCCUUGUCGGGUAAGUUCCGACCUGCACGAAUGGCGUAAUGAUGGCCAGGCUGUCUCCACCCGAGACUCAGUGAAAUUGAACUCGCUGUGAAGAUGCAGUGUACCCGCGGCAAGACGGAAAGACCCCGUGAACCUUUACUAUAGCUUGACACUGAACAUUGAGCCUUGAUGUGUAGGAUAGGUGGGAGGCUUUGAAGUGUGGACGCCAGUCUGCAUGGAGCCGACCUUGAAAUACCACCCUUUAAUGUUUGAUGUUCUAACGUGGACCCGUAAUCCGGGUUGCGGACAGUGUCUGGUGGGUAGUUUGACUGGGGCGGUCUCCUCCUAAAGAGUAACGGAGGAGCACGAAGGUUGGCUAAUCCUGGUCGGACAUCAGGAGGUUAGUGCAAUGGCAUAAGCCAGCUUGACUGCGAGCGUGACGGCGCGAGCAGGUGCGAAAGCAGGUCAUAGUGAUCCGGUGGUUCUGAAUGGAAGGGCCAUCGCUCAACGGAUAAAAGGUACUCCGGGGAUAACAGGCUGAUACCGCCCAAGAGUUCAUAUCGACGGCGGUGUUUGGCACCUCGAUGUCGGCUCAUCACAUCCUGGGGCUGAAGUAGGUCCCAAGGGUAUGGCUGUUCGCCAUUUAAAGUGGUACGCGAGCUGGGUUUAGAACGUCGUGAGACAGUUCGGUCCCUAUCUGCCGUGGGCGCUGGAGAACUGAGGGGGGCUGCUCCUAGUACGAGAGGACCGGAGUGGACGCAUCACUGGUGUUCGGGUUGUCAUGCCAAUGGCACUGCCCGGUAGCUAAAUGCGGAAGAGAUAAGUGCUGAAAGCAUCUAAGCACGAAACUUGCCCCGAGAUGAGUUCUCCCUGAGACUUAGAGUCUCCUGAAGGAACGUUGAAGACGACGACGUUGAUAGGCCGGGUGUGUAAGCGCAGCGAUGCGUUGAGCUAACCGGUACUAAUGAACCGUGAGGCUUAACCUUACA
rnacentral:rRNA from 1 species